rnacentral:rRNA from 1 species
GUGGGGAAUCUUGCGCAAUGGGCGAAAGCCUGACGCAGCCAUGCCGCGUGAAUGAUGAAGGUCUUAGGAUUGUAAAAUUCUUUCACCGGGGACGAUAAUGACGGUACCCGGAGAAGAAGCCCCGACUAACUUCGUGCCAGCAGCCGCGGUAAUACGAAGGGGGCUAGCGUUGCUCGGAAUUACUGGGCGUAAAGGGAGCGUAGGCGGACAGUUUAGUCAGAGGUGAAAGCCCAGGGCUCAACCUUGGAAUUGCCUUUGAUACUGGCUGUCUUGAGUACGGGAGAGGUGAGUGGAACUCCGAGUGUAGAGGUGAAAUUCGUAGAUAUUCGGAAGAACACCAGUGGCGAAGGCGACUCACUGGCCCGUUACUGACGCUGAGGCGCGAAAGCGUGGGGAGCAAACAGGAUUAGAUACCCGUGUAGUCC